rnacentral:rRNA from 1 species
GACGUAGGGCGCGAGCGUUGUCCGGAUUUAUUGGGCGUAAAGAGCUCGUAGGCGGCGUGGUAAGUCACUUGUGAAAUCUCUGAGCUUAACUCAGAACGGCCAAGUGAUACUGCUGUGCUAGAGUGCAGAAGGGGCAAUCGGAAUUCUUGGUGUAGCGGUGAAAUGCGUAGAUAUCAAGAGGAACACCUGAGGUGAAGACGGGUUGCUGGGCUGACACUGACGCUGAGGCGCGAAAGCGUAGGGGAGCAAACGGG